rnacentral:rRNA from 1 species
GGUUGCGAUCAUUCCAGCACUAAUGCACCGGAUCCCAUCAGAACUCCGCAGUCAAGCGUGCUUGGGCGAGAGUAGUACUAGGAUGGGUGACCCCCUGGGAAGUCCUCGUGUUGCAACCC